rnacentral:rRNA from 1 species
GACAGAGGGUGCAAACGUUGUUCGGAAUUACUGGGCGUAAAGCGCAUGUAGGCGGCCUAGCAGGUCGGAUGUGAAAUCCCUCGGCUCACCAAGGAAGUGCAUUCGAAACCGCAAGGCUCGAGUCCCGGAGAGGAUGGUGGAAUUCUCGGUGUAGAGGUGAAAUUCGUAGAUAUCGGAGAGGAACACCGAUUGCGAAGGGCAGCUUACUAAGC